rnacentral:rRNA from 1 species
UAGGGAAUCUUCCGCAAUGGGCGAAAGCUUGACGGAGCAACGCCGCGUGAGUGAUGAAGGUCUUCGGAUCGUAAAACUCUGUUAUUAGGGAAGAACAAAUGUGUAAGUAACUAUGCACGUCUUGACGGUACCUAAUCAGAAAGCCACGGCUAACUACGUGCCAGCAGCCGCGGUAAUACGUAGGUGGCAAGCGUUAUCCGGAAUUAUUGGGCGUAAAGCGCGCGUAGGCGGUUUUUUAAGUCUGAUGUGAAAGCCCACGGCUCAACCGUGGAGGGUCAUUGGAAACUGGAAAACUUGAGUGCAGAAGAGGAAAGUGGAAUUCCAUGUGUAGCGGUGAAAUGCGCAGAGAUAUGGAGGAACACCAGUGGCGAAGGCGACUUUCUGGUCAGUAACUGACGCUGAUGUGCGAAAGCGUGGGGAUCAAACAGG